CAAAAUUCAUUGACUCAUGGUUUAAAAGAACAAAUGUUGAGUCUUCAAGUUCAAAUGUAGUUUCUGAACCUUCCAUAUCCUCUCCAAAUAUUGAUGUUGAACCUCAACCUUCCAUUCCUGAACCACAAAAUAAUAUCAACGGUCUUGAACCUUGUGGAACUCGUAGAGUUAGAUUUAGUUAGUUUAGGUUCUUGUAUUGCAUUGCACGUUUAUUUUGUUAUUGAUUUUGUUUUUUAGUUUUGUAUAGAUAUGCAUUUGAAGGGUAAGGCUCACUACAUCCCCCCUUGACUAGGUGUAUAUUUUUCUUAAAUUAAUAAAAUUCUCUCGCACCGUCGAGAUUCUCUA